rnacentral:lncRNA from 1 species
UCCUGGAGACUUUGUGGCCCAUAAGCCCAUACUCAAUAUGCCACAUGCAGGAACUCUGCACAAGGGACUUCAAUUUGAUGAGGUAUGUGUCUUCCCUCUUACAUGGGAUCCUGUGGAAGCAAAGAAGACAGCUUGACAUUGUCAUUGAUAGAGGAGAAGACGACAAGAACUAAUUCUUCACAGCUCCAUGACAAGGUGGCAUUUGUCAGCCCCUCUGUCUCCUCACCACUGCUUAUCAGAGCGCCCAUGAUGAUGCCUGAUCUUAGCCUCCCUGCAAGACAGAUUUACACGUAGGAUCCAGACAAUCUCACUUUCCUUGGACCCCAAAUCAUAGCUCCCACCUUCAGAACUCUGCUCUGAACCUGAGCUUCUGAGAGUAUCAGUCUUCUACACCUCAGGAAAUAAAUUUGUUACAAAAAAAAAAAAAAAAAGUUUACAACUGAUGGUUGCUGACCUGAGUUGGUUGGUUCCUUCCUUGGAGUUGGCACAGUAUCUUCUGUUCCUUCCUACAUCAAUGCAGACAUCAGAAACCCUACUGAACAACAACCAUUGACUGUUAACACCUUGGCUGACACUAGGCUAUUACCCACAAGCUGAUCCACAGGCCUUAACUACAGUUAUUAAAGCAAAGUAGAUUUAUUAAGCAGUGGUUGGCAGAUACUAACAAAUAUACAGCUGAAAAUUUGAAGAGGCUCUCUGUAGCCAACCAAAUUAUUUGCCACAAUGUAUCCAGAGGAACAAAAACAAGAGAAUGUAUCCAAGCAAGACUCAAGACUUGCUUUUCAAAGAGUAGAGGCUGACUGGUCUCAGCCCUUUUUUUUUUUUUUUUACAGGAUCAGUCAACAAUACUCUACUGGAGCCAAGGCAAAUCUCUAGGUGUGAGCAUGGAUUCUCUAAAAAUCCAUUUACUCUUAGUCUAUAAGGACAAUGUGAUACCAGCUCAACACACUACCAUUGCCUGGGAAACUUGUUAUACCCACUGAUUCUUUCCUAUGGAUUAGUUGGACUAAUACAGUGGAUGUUUACUAGCCAGAGGAACGUACCAUCUCAUCUGGUCCCACACCUUUUUUUUUUUUUUUUUUUUUUGUGACUCCCCACCCUCUGUCCAGUGAGCUCCGAAUACCCUUCCAACCAACUCAUAGACCCUGGCACUAGAGUCUCCUCUGCUUGUCCCAUGAAGGCCUUCAGCGUCAUGGGUGACAUCUAUAACUUCGCCAUGAACACCUGAGACUCCACCUUUUAUUCUGUAGAACCUGGUUGUGUGGCUAUAUAGAAUUUUCCUGGAGUGAGAGCUCAUUUCUCAGAACAGGUAGAUAUGCCCAGCCACUCUCUCUACCCUAACCUUUGAACAGAGACUUUUUAAAAAAGAUUUUUAUUUAUUAAAAAAAGAUUUUUAUUUAUUUUUAUGUAUGUGAGUACACUGUAGCUGUCUUCAGACACGCCAGAAGAGAGCAUUGGAUCCCAUUACAGAUGGUUGUGAGCCGCCAUGUAGUUUCUGGAAAUUGAACUCAGGACCUCAGGAAGAAGAGUCAGUGCUAUUAACUGCUGAGCCAUUUCUCCAGCACCCAAAGACAUAUUUUUGACUCAGGUACCCUAUAUAACAGGGAACACAAAGAUGACUUGCUAGGAACAGUUAGGAAAGCCACUAAUGAAAUUUCCACUGCUCUCUUCUCUAAUGUACCACAACUACAGCCAACAGAUUAUCAGAGCAGUAGGGAUAUCAAGACCCUGGAAGGACAGACAGAAUCUAACACUUCUCAGCUGUAUUCGGGGCACACACUAUUUUCUAUUCCCAUAAAGUUAACAAGCUUUAAAAAAAAAUGUUCUUUAUUUGAUAUGAUUGGUAGGGUGUUAAAUUUGAUUAUACUUGUUUGCCCACAUAGAACUUGUUCCACUGGAUAAAGGAGAGAUUUGGGCUUUUUGUAUAUAUCAUAUUGGCAUACAAACUCCUUAUGAUUAUUUGGGCCUUGUUUAACAAACUUCAUUUCAGGAAGAACUAUGACAAGAGGCUCCAGAGAUUACUAUCGCACCAGAAGGAACAAACCCAGCUAGGCAUGAUUCUGGCAGACGUUUCUGUAAAAACCAGGAUUGGAGAAACUUCUUCAGGACAUGUUUUGUCUCCAGGGUGAUACCGCAAGCCAGAAACAUCGUAAGUAUUCCAAUACAAUGCUUUCUUCUACUCCACCAAAUAAAUUCCAUUUUUGCC